AUCACAUUGGGCGUCGUAUAUGUCAAAAAUCGUUCUUUUCACACAAGAUCACAAGGUUGUCACUGCACCUCUCGUAUCGUAUUUAAAAAAUAAAUCAGAAUAAUUUCGAGAUUUAAUUUUUAAAGGAGAGCGAAACUAAAAAUUUCACCCAAAUACGAGAUAUGAGGACUUCGGUAAUCGCGAAUGCAGUUCGAGUUAAUUACUCUCAUCAGUUUGGCAACAGUCGACAAGUGACUGACAGAACAACCGUCGGAUCGGCAGCUUUGCUCGCCUUCGUCGGUUUCUCCCUGUCCAGCUUCAGUUUGAAGCAAAUUGUGACCAAAGGAGCUGCAUCCAAGUUGUAAAAAGGCGCACACAGACUCAAAAACUCAUCCUCCAUAACGAAAGAUGUUGCAGUAAACAGUCCUCCAUAAGUCACACUCAACAUUCUUAUUUAUUUUUGUUUUUUAUUGUCACCCAACUCAUCAUCACUCCAACCAUCCAUCAAAAUGUUACAAUAUUUUUGUUAAAGCGCAAAAAAAAGUAUUCUGUACCAAUAAUGGAUCAAUGCUUUUAUUCUCGUAGUACAACAAGUAGAAGACGAGGAGCAGCUUACACUUCAUUUUAUAUUUUAUAGGUCUCAUA